CCCAGACUCCUACGGGAGGCAGCAGUGGGGGAUAUUGCACAAUGGGGGGAACCCUGAUGCAGCGACGCCGCGUGGGUGAAGGAGUGCUUCGGCAUGUAAAGCCCUAUCGGCAGGGAAGAAGCAAGACGGUACCUGACUAAGAAGCCCCGGCUAACUACGUGCCAGCAGCCGCGGUAAUACGUAGGGGGCAAGCGUUAUCCGGAUUUACUGGGUGUAAAGGGAGCGUAGACGGCGAUGCAAGCCAGAUGUGAAAGCCCGGGGCUCAACCCCGGGACUGCAUUUGGAACUGUGUGGCUGGAGUGUCGGAGAGGCAGGCGGAAUUCCUAGUGUAGCGGUGAAAUGCGUAGAUAUUAGGAGGAACACCAGUGGCGAAGGCGGCCUGCUGGACGAUGACUGACGUUGAGGCUCGAAAGCGUGGGGAGCAAACAGGAUUAGAUACCCUGGUACC
rnacentral:rRNA from 1 species